rnacentral:lncRNA from 1 species
UUUAAUUUCUUUAAUUAUACUAUUUCGAAAUUCAAACCCUAAACCCUAAAACUCAACUCUAAACCCUAAACCAUCAAUCCUAAACUUUUUUUUUAAUACGAACCCUAAACCCUAAACCAUCAAUCUUAAACCCUAUUAUUUUUAAGUAUGAACCCUAAACCCUGAAACAUCAACUCUAAACCCUAAACUCCGAAACAUCAACUCUAAACCCUAAACCCUAAACCUUCAACUCUAAACCCUAAAACAUCAGCUCUAAACCCUAAAUCCUAAACUUCAACUCUAAACCCAAAAACCAUCAACACUAAACCCUAAACUAUCAACAGUAAACCUAAACCCUAAAAAGUAAACUCCAAACCCUAAACCCUAAAAAAUUAACCUUAAACCCUAAAACAUCAACUCUAAACCCUAAAUCCUAAACUUUCAACUCUAAACCCUAAACUCUAAAACCCUAGAGUUGAUGUUUUAGGGUUUAGAUUUGAAGGUUUAGGGUUUUAAGGUUUAGGGUUCGAAUUUCAGAAAAAUAUAAUGUUUAGGGGUUAGGAUUUACAUUUAAGGUUUUGAGUUGAUGUUUUAGGGUUUAGAUUUGAAGGUUUAGAGUUUAGGGUUUACAGUUGAUGUUUCGGAGUUUAGUGUUUAGAGUUGAUGUUUCAUAGUUUAGGGUUUAGAGUUGAUGAUUUAGGGUUUAAAGUUGAUGUUUUAAGUUUAGAUUUAGGGUUUUUAGGGUUUAGAUUUGAAGGUUUAGGGUUUAGGGUUGAUGUUUCGGGGUUUAGAGUUGAUGUUUCAUGGUUUAGGGUUUAGAGUUAAUGAUUUAGGGUUUAGAGUUAAUAUUUUACGUUUAGAUUACCAUAUGUUUUUUUUUUUAAGUUAAUCAAAAGGUUAUAAAUGUCUUUUACCAUUCAUUAAAUAUGAGGAUAAAAGUGGUUAGUGUAAACAUGAAAAGUGGUACUUUGAAAAU